UUGCUCCAAGGACUCGAGAGUCUUGGGGCGCGGGAAACAGACAGUGGGCAACUUAACACUCUUUUGAACGGUCUCUUCGAUAUUCUCGGUCCUUUCAUCACAAUGGGAUUUUCUGAGUCCCCCUCACCUUGAGGGACACAGCAUCGAACGUGACCUUCAGGCAAACCUCGGUGACCUUUUGGGGUCAAGUGGAGAGGAUCCUUGGCUUGAUGACGCAGAGAGAAAGGAGUUCGUGGAUUCGGUGGAGAACAAGAAACAAGAGGACAAAGCCCGGGUGUUUGGUGUCUUGACAACUAUAGAUAGAGCUGCAAACCUGGCUCUGAGGGCCGUGCAGCCGGACGGUCGGUC